CAGUGCCAUCCCAUGAAGUUCAAUUACGGACGCCUGAUAUGUCACUCCAGCAAAAGAGCCAAUAUCCGGCCCAGGCUGUAUGUGCUUAAUGAUAGAGACAUCAUUCUCUUCAUUGCUACAAAAGACAUUUUGAGUGAUGAGGAGUUACUCUAUAAUUAUGGCUCAAAGAGGAGAUCUUUUGUCGGGAAAGGGCUGGAAUUGGACUGGAUGUGAAAGAACAUCUUUCCAUCCCCCAUUCUCACUCACUUCUAACAUGUCCAACUCCAAGUUUCCACCUGUGGCUAUAUUCUCUCCUCACUCUCUGGACUCUGGACAACCAUCACUGCUCUUCUCACCCUGAAGGAUUCUUCCUGCAAUGUCAAGCACCAACACUUCUCUCUAAGUAGAGACUUGGUUGUAAUAGGCUGAAUGAGUGGGUCUUACAAACCAUUCACCUUUACUUCCAGAGAACUGUAUUUUCUCUUACUGACUUGUCUUUUUUCACUCUUUUUUUUCUCAUAAGCUUCCUUUAUGCAAUAGUGAGAGUGUGAGUAGGCUACUCCAUAUUCUCUCCUCUCUCUCUGGAUUCUUUGCAACACAUGUGGAAUUACAGCCUGAUACCAGAAAGAGGAACGUCUGGUUGCUGAAUGGUCAAACUGUCAAGGCGACACCAUAUAAAUCAAGAGGGUUGGGAUUAGAUAAUGUGCGAAAGACAGUAUAAAAGCAUGAAGGAGAGCCUUAAAAAGAGCUGAACUGAGGUUACAUCUCUUCUGCGCAGAACUUGUACUCUCUAACUUCUUGCAUUCAAAAUAAAACUUCUUAAUUUUCAA